rnacentral:rRNA from 1 species
GACGAACGCUGGCGGCGUGCUUAACACAUGCAAGUCGAACGCGCCUGUCCUCUGGGUUUCUGGGGGGUGGGUGAGUGGCGAACGGGUGAGUAACACGUGAGUAACCUGCCCCCUUCUUCGGGAUAACGGUCUGAAAGGCUGCUAAUACCGGGUAUUCACUGGUCUCCGCAUGGGGUCUGGUGGAAAGGUUUUUUUCUGGUGGGGGAUGGGCUCGCGGCCUAUCAGCUUGUUGGUGGGGUGAUGGCCCACCAAGGCUUUGACGGGUAGCCGGCCUGAGAGGGUGACCGGUCACAUUGGGACUGAGAUACGGCCCAGACUCCUACGGGAGGCAGCAGUGGGGAAUAUUGCACAAUGGGCGCAAGCCUGAUGCAGCGACGCCGCGUGAGGGAUGGAGGCCUUCGGGUUGUGAACCUCUUUCGCCCGUGGUCAAGCCGCGACGUGGGUCGUGGUGAGGGUAGUGGGUAAAGAAGCGCCGGCUAACUACGUG